UUUUUUCCUAGACUCUGCCCAGAGUCAGUCCUGGUCACUCCCAGGACUGGGAUGCUACGCCAAUUGUAGCAUCGAUUAAAUCCCUCUGUUUGCUUCUCUUCCCCCACACGUGACCUCUCAUGAAGCUCCUUUUCUGUCAUCCUGCACGCGUAUGAGUAUUCUUUUAAGCUGCAAUUAGGGCUAGUUGUUGCUUUUUAUUUCUUUUUUCUCUUUCUUGGCCAUGCCUACAGCAUAUGGAAAUUCCCAGGCCAGAGAGCAGACCCAUGCCACAGCAGUGGCUUGAGCCACAGCAAUGACAACACCAGAUCCUUAAGCCACUGAGCCAAAAGGGAACUCCAGUGUUGCCUUUUAAUUUAAAAAAAUAUUUUCAUUAGUUUGGGCCCAUUAUCCCAGCACUUCCACACCAAUGUGAAAUGACACUGCCACUCAUCAUAAUGAAGCAUUCUUUUGAGAGCUUUACAUCAUCUGCAAUUUUUUUUAACCAGGGCCUCUACUUUUUUUUCAAGUUCCGAAUAAAAAUAGGUUUUUGCUAUUGCCCUUCCUUUUGUGUGGCCUAAAGCCAAGAAAAUCAACAUUCUCUAGCAAAAGUCACUCAGUGGGCUAUCCCCAACUAACUGUACAAUCUUAUUUUCAAAAAUUCGAUAUGGGAUUUUUUGAGUGCUUUGUUGAAAUGAAGAUGCACCCACUAUAGACUAUCUUUUGAACCCGGCUACCAUCAUGAAUGUUCUUAGUGAACCCUUAUUGGCUUCUGGUGACCUCUUUAUUAUUUUCCAAUUACUGUCAUCUAGUUAAGAGUCUAAACUACUCAGGGAUUAAGAGAAAUGCGAAAGACCACUUAGGAAAAUGGGAACAGCAUUUCCCAUUUUUGGCAACAUUCCUAUCACAGCUUCUCAAAAUUGGCUAAUAGUAGCCCCAAGGUCAGCUCUCUUACAUUUGGGAUGUAAUUGCCACCUACCCAGGGUUUCCAUGUCCUUUUAACUCAUUUAUCUUUAAUUGCAAAUUUUACUGACAUAACUGUAGAGUCACUUUCAGUUGAAAGAAAUAUACAGAGCAAUCCCGGUACACUUUGCCUGGGGGUUUUUCCAAAACUCUAGUAUAAUAUCACAAUCAGGAUGCUGACAUGGAGACAAGCCCCCCAACCUUCCAGACUUUCUUAGUUUUACUUGUGCUCAUAUAUGCACGUGUGUGUUAACUUCAAUAUCACCCACUUAGAAUCAUGUAUUCAGUCAAGGUACAGAAUGAACAGUUCGAACACCUACUGCUGCCUAUUCAUUAAUCUUUCAGACAUGCUUGCUCUGCGCUUUUUGAUUUUUAAAUCAAUGGCCAUAAAGGAAAAAGACAAAUGGAAUUUUUCCCUCAUUCAUUUUUGGAAUGAACCAUGAUAAAUGGGUGAAGAGGUGUUUUUUUUUCCUACUUUGGAAUGGAAGGGGAAGAAAAGUUCCAAUUAAAAGUAGUUAUGGGGGGACAGCUGCCAUUGGUAACCCAGCAUCUACAGAUAUUUUAACAUAUUAAGAAUCAUUUCCCCCACUAAUCUAUUUGAGAGACAGGACCACAUCCUACACCCCUUCUGUGACCUUGACUCUCCAACACCAACACAUCUCAGAUGACUCAUCUAAGCCAAGGAUCAGCCCUUUUUCUGUAAAGGGCAGAGAGUAAAUAAUUUAGCCUUUACCAGCAGGAUCUCGAUGGCACUGCCUUACUGUGGAAGGGGUAACUGGCAUUACGUAAAGGGCUGGUCACAGCCUAUGCCAGCCUAUUCAUUUAUAAAAAUAGGUGGGAAGCAGCAGCUUGCCAACCCCCUGAUCUGAGCCAGUCAUGAUAAUUGCAUUUCCUCAGCCAGUGACUGAUUGACAAACGGACCUGGGACCCAGUCCCGGUGCACGGGAUGGGAGGGAAGUCUGCUGAGGGGCUUCUCAGAAAACGUAUUUCACAUCUGAGACACUCAAAGAAGAGACGAGCCUUCUUUCGUCUGUGGAUGUUAGCAGAUCUGCAUGUGGUACCUGGAAUCCCUGCAGCCAUCUUGCUCCUUACCUAAAGAUGAAGCCAUCAAAACAGGAAGGCGGAGGGGUUCCUAUCGUGGCUCAGCAGUUAAUGAACCCAACUGGCAUCCGUGAGGACACAGGUUCGAUCCCUGGCCUCGCUCAUGGGUUAAGGAUCCGGCGUUGCUGUGGCUGUGGUGUAGGCCGGUGGCUACAGCUCUGAUGAGACCCCUAGCCUGGGACCCUCCGUAUGCCAUGGGUGUGGCUCUAAAAAGACAAAAGCCAAAAAAAAGGAAAAAAACAAAAAAGAUGACCCACUCCCUGCCGUUUUCCUCCUCUGCCUUUAAGGCUCCCUCGCCCGCCUAGCCCGCGGAAGGCAAGCCGCACGCACACGCGUGCACACUCCUCAGUCUUACCAUCGGGCCUGGGGCCAACCGGUCACCUCACACGAACACAAUUAAAAGUUAAACAUCAAUUAAAAUGUGCAAAAUCCAUUUAGCGCUCUGAAAAAGCACUAAAUACCCGCACACAUUUGGGGCACAAAUUACUCUAAAUUGUUUCCCAUUCGUCUUUAGUGAUCCAACACACUGGGCCUCAUUUUAGACUCUGUUAAUUGCUCACUCGGCUUCCAGAGAAUAAGCAAUGAAAAACGAGCCCAGGAUAAAAGAUAAAAACGGGGAAAGAAACGCCACACUGGGGCGAGUUCUGACAGGCAGGUAGUCUAUCAGAGCCGGCGAAGCAGAGAACUUCUGGGGGAGGGCGAGCCCCAUCCGGGGCCCAGGGGACCAGCAGGUGAGUUCUCCCCUGAGACUUCUGCUGAUGUCUUCAUCUGCAUGUCUGACACAGAUCUGGGGGUCUAACAGGCAUUUCAAGUUUUAUCCUGUCCAAAACAGAAUGUGCAAUUCCGCCCAAAUCCAUUUCUUGUCCUAUCCUCCCCAUCUCAAUAAAUGGUACCCGACUGCAGAAGCCCAAAUUCAGCAUCGCCCUUGAUUUCUUUUCUUCUGCAUCCCCCCAACCAUGCCAUUGGCAGGGUUCAUUUACUCUGCAAUCUGCUCGGUGCUCUCCCGUCCACGGCCACCACCCUCGUCUGGGCCUCUGCCGUGACUCUUGUGAGGUGACUACCCCCACUUCCUAACUGGUCUCCCUGCUCCUCUUUCAGCCUCUCCACGAUCCACUCUUUUAAAAACUAAAUACGACUCCACCUCCCCCCUCGCCCCGCCCCACCCUUAAAACCCUCCGACAGCUUCCCAGCGCCUUUUAGAGUUAGAAGCCUGUGUUCGUUUCCUUCUGCAGCCUUAACAAAUGCCCACAAUUCGGUGGCUUUGCACGAUAUGAAGGCACUCUCAUCCAGAGAUCAGAAGGGUAACGUCAAGGUGUCAGCAGCGUUCUUUCUGGAGGCUUCAGAGGAGCAUCUGCGUCCUUGCCCGUUUUAGCUUCUAGAGCUUCCUGCACGCCUCACCUUCUCUGAUCCCCCUGCCUCCCUCUUACAGGGACCUUUGCAAUUACACCGGGCCCUUCUAGGUAACCCGGGACUGUCAUCCCACCCUGAGAUCUCUAACUUCAUCAGGCCCGCAAAGUCUCUUUUACCAGGUAAGGUAAUGUAUUUGCAGGUUCUGGGACUAGGAUAUGGCCAGUUUAGAAGGGCCCUGAUUCAGUCCAUCACAAAAUCAAAAUCAAAACACAACACACGAGGGGUUCCUGUCAUGGCUCAGUGGUUAAUGAAAUCUGACUAGUAUCUAUGAGGAUGCAAGUUCGAUCCCUGGCCUUGCCCAGUGGGUUAAGGAUCUGGCAUUGCCGUGAGCUGUGGUGUAGGCUAUAGAUGAGGCUCAGAUCCUGCAUUGCUGUGGCUGUGGGAUAGGCCGGCAGCUACAGCUCCCAUACGACCCCUAGCGUGGGAACCUCCAUGUGCUGCAGGUGCAGCCCUAAAAAGCAAAAAAAAAAAAAAAACAAAAAACAAACAAAAAAAAACCAAAAACCCAAUGCAUAAACAGGACACCUCUUUACCACGGUUCACCAGCCUGACGCCACCCGGCUUUGCCCACCUCGCUCACCCUCGUCUCCUACCCCCCUCACUCUCACUCACCUUCUCCUUGCUCUCGGGCCUUCGGGCUGGUCUUCACGGGGCCAGGCCUGCUCCCACCCCAGAGUCCUCACCCCUGCCGUCCCCUGCCCCUGUGGCAUUCCUCCCUCGCCAGUUCCCACAGCGGCUCCGUUCCCGAGAGCUCGGCUGUCACUGCCUCACGGAUCGCCUCCCAGAUCACCUCCUGACUCACUCUCUUCCCGUCGGGGAGUGAACGCCAAGGGGAGCGUCUCUGUCCGCUUUGCUCGCUCUGCCCCCUAGAACAGGGACUGUCACACCUACGACGAAUCCUCGCUGCAGGGGUGAUCGCCAGGACUUGGAAACAUGGGUGAUGUGCUCAUAACACGCCCUCAUAACCCACUCCGGUUUCUAAUCCACAGGUUUAUACCAAUGCUUUUUAAACUCAUCAACAUUUUCAUCCUAGAUCAGCUCUCAGGAUAAAACCAGACAAAAUGAAAUGUAAUAAAAACAACUGUAAAGCCGACAAAAUAUUGGGGGUGGCGUGGGGCGGAGGUGGGGUGAGGGGACAGGGCUGAAAAAGAAGAGGAGCCAUGGGACAUGCCAAGGAGACUCGGAGGGAGCCACUGUGGGUGAUUCCUAACUCAACAGGGCUUGUCAGUGGGAUGCGGCUUCCAAAAACAUGACCUUCCGGGCAAGGGAGGUUUCCAAGCCCAAAGAGGGAAAGGACUGCGUGGCCAUGUCUUCACAACAAAGACAGCUAGCAGUUACCAGAGUGAACCAGGAACAAGGUGCUACAGAGAAAGCGUUACAUAAAACAUCACAACAUUUCAGCCUCACAACACUCUUAUGGAGGGGGCGCUAUGAAUAGUUCUCACUUCCCAGACGAGAGAAACGUAGUUCAAAGAAGUCAGGUAACUUGCCCACAGUUCUAGAAUCAGUAUGUGCUGACGUCAGGAUCCACUCCAAAGCCUGAUUUUAAACAUAACGCUCCACCGCACCAGCUUUUCUUGAUGACGCUGGACACAAGGAAGGGUUGAUAAGAAAGCACUACCAAGAAGUUCCCCUUGUGGCUCAGCAGAAACAAACCCGACGGGGCUCCAUGAGCACAUGGGUUUGCUCCGUGGGUUAAGGAUUUGGCAUUGCCAUGAGCUGUGCUACAGGCUGGCAGGUGCAGCUCCAAUGUGACCCCAAACCUGGGAACUUCCCUAUGCCGUGGGUGCAGCCCUACAAAAAAGACCAAAGGAAAAAAAAAAAAAAA
rnacentral:lncRNA from 1 species